rnacentral:lncRNA from 1 species
AAUUACAUACUCUGAAAACAAUAAAGGAUCUUACUCUUCUCUAAUUCUAUAGUUUUAAGAGGGAAAAAUACUCCUUGGUCAGUUGAAAAUUUUAACUAGUCAAAAUUCAAUCUACAAUAACUCACAUCUUGAUCACGAUGUGGCUGGAGUGCUUCAGAAGGAGCUAUGAUGAAGAGGAAGGCAGAAUUUACUGGAUUCCAUUUCUAGCAACUCUGUUCUUUCUUCACUAGUAAUUACAUACCUUUCUCCAGCUAAUCACAGACUAGUUUACUGCCAUUCGGACUACGAAAAACCGCAGGGGAGGCAGGAAAGGACGAUUUUAGACUCCCAUAUAAUCAGCAAAUUGUUUCUUUGAAAAAAACAUUAUUUGAGACAGGAGUGGAGUAAGAUUACAAAACAGGGAAUCAUUUUCAUAAGAGCAACUGUAAUCUUAACCUAAAAGGUCACUUAAAUGAGAUGUGAAAAUGCUUCUUAGAUGUAAAAUAAUACAAAGUACUUGGCCAGUCUUAGUUUCACAAUGCUUACAAGCUUACA